rnacentral:rRNA from 1 species
GAGGAAUAUUGGUCAAUGGGCGGAAGCCUGAACCAGCCAUGCCGCGUGCAGGACGACGGCCCUACGGGUUGUAAACUGCUUUUCCGGGGGAAGAAUAAGGCCCAUGCGUGGGCCGAUGCCGGUACCCCGGGAAUAAGGAUCGGCUAACUCCGUGCCAGCAGCCGCGGUAAUACGGAGGAUCCUAGCGUUAUCCGGAUUUACUGGGUUUAAAGGGUGCGUAGGCGGGCGUUUAAGUCAGCGGUGAAAGUCUGCGGCUCAACCGUAGGACUGCCGUGGAUACUGGGCGCCUUGAAUUCGGUCGAGGCGGGCGGAAUGCGUGGUGUAGCGGUGAAAUGCUUAGAUAUCACGCAGAACGCCGAUAGCGAAGGCAGCUCGCCGGGCCGAUAUUGACGCUGAGGCACGAAAGCGUGGGGAUCAAAC